rnacentral:rRNA from 1 species
UACGUAGGGGGCAAGCGUUGUCCGGAAUCAUUGGGCGUAAAGAGCGUGUAGGCGGCCCGAUAAGUCCGCUGUGAAAGUCCAGGGCUCAACCCUGGGAUGCCGGUGGAUACUGUCGGGCUCGAGUCCGGAAGAGGAGUGUGGGAAUUCCUGGUGUAGCGGUGAAAUGCGCAGAUAUCAGGAGGAACACCAAUGGCGAAGGCAGCACUCUGGGACGUGACUGACGCUGAGGAGCGAAAGCGUGGGGAGCAAACAGG